rnacentral:snRNA from 2 species
AUACCUUUCUCGGCCUUUUGGCUAAGAUCAAGUGUAGUAUCUGUUCUUAUCAGUUUAAUAUCUGAUAUGUGGUCUAUCGGGCCACACGAUAUUAACUCUAUUUUUUUAAGGGAGAAGACUCAUUAAGAUAGCUUGCUAUCUGGGCCUUCAUGAGUUGUCCAUGCGUUGCACUUCUGCAAGGGCCUGGCUCAACCCGU